AAGACUCCACCAUAUAAGGACAUGGAAAAUGUUGUGUACACCUCAUGUGGGUGUAUAUGCCAUCAAAGUCAAACAAAGAGGAAAUGAAAUAAAAAGAUAGUCAUGUGAUAGAUGUGUGAUAGAGCAAUGAUAAGUGAACACAAAAAUAUAGACACAAAUACGACAUCAUGGAUAGAUUGGUAAUUUCCUUUAAAAUACAAUGGCAUAAUUGAAAUUCUAAUUGAUUUCACUCUUUUUUAUUCUUUUUCAACCAUCGCUGAUGCUGUUCACUCACCAUCAUCCUAAACCCUAAACCCUAAACCCUAAACCCUAAAACAGAUCUGCAUCGGCGAAGGCGAGGUCUGUGAGAAUCUCAGUCGCGAAAACACUGUAAAAGAGUGGUCGUCGGUGAUGAGGACAGAACGGUCGCCGGUGAUUAAGACAGAACGGUCGGCGGUGAAUUUGGUAGAUCAGUGUCGGUGAGAGAAUGAGAGAAAACUGUGUUUGAUUUGAUAAGAGUGGAAGAGACAUGUACUGGUGUGAGAGGAUGAGAAAAUAAACAAACAAAUAAAAUGUAUAAGUGAACGGUUUGACCAUAAUCCUUUCCUUGCUGGUCUAUGUUUUAUCCCUAACUGGGAGCUCAAUGAGAUAAAUAUAUCUUGCACCACUAUUAUUGUUUCUUUUUAGGUAUUAUCUUCUAUUGUCCAAGACAUCUUUUGGAGCCAGAUCACAACCUUAUCUAGAUUUAGGCUUCUAUAAUUAUUAUGUCAAUUGAAUAAAAAAAUCUUAUUGUAAUAUUAUACUAUUUUUAAAGGUAAUUUAUUAUCAGUCCAAACGUUUACUGGAAAAAUCUACCGAAAUAUAAAUACUGCUGUGAAGAUUUUAAGUGAAUUGAAGUAUGGUUUUCUUCGCCGGUGUCCUUGUAUUUGACAAGAGUAAAUCGUUGUAUCAUCAUCAUCAUCAUUAUUCAAUGAAUUGCUU
rnacentral:lncRNA from 1 species